UCUGCACAAGCACAAGACAAAACAGAAGGAAAUAACAUCUUAAACAAGAGUAUGCCGCAGUACUAUAACCACCACAGAAAGAUUAGAGAAUGUCAGAAUGGAAAUAUGCUGCACUGAACUGCCAUCGGAUUUGCAAUCCAGUGUUAAUGUUCAUCAGGGGUUAGUUCUGAAAAAAAACCCUUAGAAUCAUAUAUAUAAAAAAUAUAUUUAUGGAAAAAGUUUCUCUUUCAGCUUCUGGUGUUACUACUAUAUGAUGCCUCAUCUCUGUGUGUAAUAAAGUUCAGACGUUCAUAACAGUUAAUUCAAAAAUUGACGAGCAAAAACAGAGUGCAAAAGUUCAAAACACCAGUUUCUGUCCCUCGUGGUUAAUUGCAGUAAUAAACACCUUGGAUAUCUAUAACUCUCAGCAAGCUAGAGCUCAAUCUAAUGAAAAAUUCAACAAGUUAAAAUUUGAGUAAAUGUACAUUUGGUGUGAUAAACAAGUAGAAAAACCAUGGAGAUAACAAGAGAAACAAACAUAAAAAUGGAUGCAGGUAGCAGAAAACCAUGCAAAAGGUCCACCAGACUCUUUGAGAACCAUGUUCUAGUGAGUCAUAGCCUUCUCUUCCAUAAAUUAAUUCGCUGCCUGCCUGUUGCAGGCAACAAUUCAUAAUAAGUAGACCCUCGAAUGCCUCAAUGAGGUAAUAUUCAAGGGAAAUUUUGUUAAAGCUGAUUAGCUAGCUAGCAACAACUGCCAAAACUUAGGCUGUCCACAAAAUACAAAAACAUCAAAGAAGUAUAAAAUUAGAGUUUUAAUAGGAAGAUAAGUUGCAAAGAACAUAUAAAGGGAAGUAUAAAUUUAAGCGAGUUGGAUGGAAGAUAACAAGAAGUAGGAAAUGAAUGACUUACUAAAUCCAUCCAAAGAAGCAAGAACUAUUUCUCCUGCCAAUAGGCUAAAAAAUUUAGUUCCCACUUUAGAGUUCACGAUUGCACUUGUAAAAAAUCCAGAGACUUUCACAACCCCAGAAAGGAUUCCAAUGGCCACUUUCUCUGACAUGCUUGUCAAUCUCUUAACCCUAAAAACGUCACAAUGUAAGAUUUCAUCAGAACAAUACUUCAUAUUAUAGUACACAAAUUCAAAUAGACAUGCAAGUCUACUUAAUGUACAAAAUUUAACAUCUGGCCAAUAUAUUCCAUAAAGAAAUAAUUUAAGCCUAUUCCCUAACUUUUUCAUUUUUGCAGUGACAUAACUACUAAAGUUCUUUACCUAUCCUAAAACAAAGCUACAAUUAAAGUUUUUAAAAAAAAGGUUAAGCAUUAAGAAACAAUUUGGCAUCAAUAAAUCAGUAAUGAAUAUGAAGAAUUAAACCUUUUAACUCUCCUCAUAGCAUCAGGACUAAUCUCUGUAUCUGAUUUCUUCUCCACCCUCUUCAUCAAGAAUUCAUUACCCCACUUCAACCUAUCCACAGUAACAUCUCCACACCACAAUAUCCCCUUAAUCAACUGCCCUGACCCAGCAGCAAUCAUCCUAGCAACAGAACUACUAUAAUCUUCCACGUUAGGAGCCAAUACAGUCCAAUAUGCAGCAGAACUUUCCUCCAUCAAUUCUUUCUUCUUCUCUAACUCCUCCGGCAAAAUCCCUUUUGCAAUAUUCCCAUCUAUCAACUCCCAAUUCUCGGUCUCCCUCACUUCUUGCACCGUGAAAGAACUGUAACACUCCAAAAUUUUAUCAAAUUCUUUUAACAAACCCUCUUGUCCUUUCGAAGCAAUAGUGACUCCAUAAUUCAACAACUCCACUUCUUUACUCAAUUCAUCGUCAUUUUGAGGAACGCGAAGAGUAAAGAAGUAAUGGGACUCGUCAAGCUUAACAGAGGCCUCAUCUUAGCCAAAGNNNUACUGUGUCACCUUGUUUGAGACUAACAAUUGUAAGGUCACCGCAAGCGAGUUCUAUACUACGCUCUCUUUCAAUGAGAUGAACAAUUACCCCAGGGAUUUUGAUAAGAAGUUCUUCACGAGGUUCCUGUCGGUCUUCUGGGAAGACAUCUCGUGCGAGGUCUUUCAUGUCAAUAGAAGGGUAUAAAGAAGAAGAAGAAGCAGACGAUGAUGAUGAAGAAACGGCUUCUGGGUUUGAAAGAUCGACUUGUGGGUAGAGAGAACUGGAUUUGGUCAUUUUUGGGUUUUGCUUUAGUGCUUCGAAGAUUAAGUUUGGGGAGUAAGAACAACGGAUUUAAGAAAAGGGGUAACCUUAUGAUGGAAGGAAGGAGAAGGCGUGUCGGUUUGGAUUUUUAAAUUGAGAAAGAACGUGGCAGGAGAAUGAGUAGCCGCGUCAUAACCGUUUCUUUGUAUUCAGAGUUGCUC
rnacentral:lncRNA from 1 species